GAGGUUCAACAGUGGAGUCACUUCAGCAUUGCCAUAGCCAGCAAAGGUGAUUGCAGCGGUACCGUUUUCUUCAUCUAUCUCCUCAAUCUCCGCUUCAUAACACCUGUAAAGAUAUCAUGGCUGUAAGCAGGAUCCAAGCCAAUCUUCUGCCCCAAAACUUAACCUAAAGCUAAAACCUACUGUAUUAAUGGUAACCACCCCACAAUCAAA